UGAGCAAUCUGCCCUUCUCAUCGGAAUAAGCGUUGGAAACGACGUCUAAUGCCGAAUACGACCUCCUUUCGCAUGAUCGGAGGUGGAAAGCUCCGGCGGAGAAGGAUGAGCUCGCGGCCUAUCAGCUAGUUGGUGAGGUAAUAGCUCACCAAGGCGAUGGCGGGUAGCCGGCCUGAGAGGGUGACCGGCCACACUGGGACUGAGACACGGCCCAGACCUGUACGGGA
rnacentral:rRNA from 1 species